AUACGGAGGGUGCAAGCGUUAUCCGGAUUCACUGGGUUUAAAGGGUGUGUAGGCGGGUAUUUAAGUCAGUGGUGAAAUCUCUGAGCUCAACUCAGAAACUGCCAUUGAUACUAUUUAUCUUGAAUAUCGUUGAGGUUGGCGGAAUAUAUCAUGUAGCGGUGAAAUGCAUAGAUAUGAUAUAGAACACCGAUUGCGAAGGCAGCUAACUAAGCGAUGAUUGACGCUGAGGCACGAAAGCGUGGGGAUC
rnacentral:rRNA from 1 species